AGCGAACGCUGGCGGCAGGCCUAACACAUGCAAGUCGAACGGACCCUUCGGGGUUAGUGGCGGACGGGAGAGUAACACGUGGGAACGUGCCUUUAGGUUCGGAAUAGCUCCUGGAAACGGGUGGUAAUGCCGAAUGUGCCCUUCGGGGGAAAGAUUUAUCACCUUUAGAGCGGCCCGCGUCUGAUUAGCUAGUUGGUGAGGUAAAGGCUCACCAAGGCUACGAUCAGUAGCUGGUCUGAGAGGAUGACCAGCCACAUUGGGACUGGGACACGGCCCAAACUCCUACGGGAGGCAGCAGUGGGGAAGUUGGAGCAAUGGGCGAAUGCCUGACGCAGCCAUGCCGCGAGGAUGAUGAAGGUCUUAGGAUUGUAAAAUCCUUUCACCGGUGAAGAGAAUGACUGUACCCGGAGAAGAAGCCCCGGCUAACUUCGUGCCAGCCGCCGCGGUAACAC
rnacentral:rRNA from 1 species